rnacentral:rRNA from 1 species
UACGGAGGGGGCUAGCGUUGUUCGGAAUUACUGGGCGUAAAGGGCGCGUAGGCGGCGCGAUAAGUUGAGCGUGAAAGGCCCGGGCUCAACCCGGGGACUGCGCUUGAUACUGUCGCGCUGUGAGUCCGGGAGAGGAUGGCGGAAUUCCCAGUGUAGAGGUGAAAUUCGUAGAUAUUGGGAAGAACACCGGUGGCGAAGGCGGCCAUCUGGACCGGCACUGACGCUGAGGCGCGAAAGCGUGGGGA